AGAGAUCUGAAAUUUUUACAGAAUACUUUUAUUUAUUCAUAGUAUUCGGGUUUAAAAUCCCCUUUACUAAUGUAAUAUAAUAAUUAUAAUAAGUAAUAUAAUAAUCAAUGCCGUCUAAUACACUAUAGAUGAAAAAUACACAGGCCAUGCAAAUAAAUCAAUGCGAUAUUGAGCCGGAAGUCGAUGUCAUUAGUCGAUAAUAUUUCUAAGAGUAAUAAUGAAUUCACACCGACACGCAUGAAUAUAUGUACAAUAUACAUGAUAUAUUGACAAAAGUGAUUUUUAGUGACAUUUCCGUUUUCAGUAAUGUAUGUGCAAAUUUACUCGUUCACGCGAUAAUUAAUAAAACAUUUUAUUUUACUAUAUUACUGCAAUGCGCAAUAGUCAGCCAAAGUCUAAACAAUACUGUAUACCUACAUAUGUUUAAAAUCUGCACAAAAGUCAUUCAGUAGUUAAAUGACGAUAUUUUAUAAAUCUUGGGUCCUGAGGGGCCCCCUGCAGACACAACAAGGACCACUCGCAGCUGGCGGCCGAGGCCGGAUCGAUACUGACAAAUGGAAAUAAUAAUUAUGAACGCAUAUUGCCUUUUCUAAACGUGGUCAAUUUUCAAAAUCAUUCUUGCGACCUAUACUUUUAUAGGAAUUUUAAAUUGUCUAGGUUUUAUGCGGAUAAAAUUGUUUGUCUGAGCAAGAUUACGUAACAAUUUUGCACGAGUUUCAUUAUAAGGUGUACUUAGAGUUGGUUAUAGCAAAGUUGAGAAAAUUGUAGUAGCUUUUAUUUAUAAGCUCCGUUUAAGUAUACAUUUUUACAAAAAUCAUUAAAAACAUGAUAUUUUAAAACGCCGCCAGAAUUGUAUUUCAUUAAUAAUGUUUAUCGUUAUUUGGUGA